rnacentral:rRNA from 1 species
UGGGGAAUAUUGCACAAUGGGCGCAAGCCUGAUGCAGCCAUGCCGCGUGUGUGAAGAAGGCCUUCGGGUUGUAAAGCACUUUCAGCGGGGAGGAAGGCGUUAAGGUUAAUAACCCUGGCGAUUGACGUUACCCGCAGAAGAAGCACCGGCUAACUCCGUGCCAGCAGCCGCGGUAAUACGGAGGGUGCAAGCGUUAAUCGGAAUUACUGGGCGUAAAGCGCACGCAGGCGGUCUGUCAAGUCGGAUGUGAAAUCCCCGGGCUCAACCUGGGAACUGCAUUCGAAACUGGCAGGCUAGAGUCUUGUAGAGGGGGGUAGAAUUCCAGGUGUAGCGGUGAAAUGCGUAGAGAUCUGGAGGAAUACCGGUGGCGAAGGCGGCCCCCUGGACAAAGACUGACGCUCAGGUGCGAAAGCGUGGGGAGCAAACAGG